GGAAGAAACCAACAGGGAUUGCCCUAGUAACGGCGAGUGAAGCGGCAACAGCUCAAAUUUGAAAUCUGGCGUCUUUGGCGUCCGAGUUGUAAUUUGCAGAGGGCGCUUUGGCAUUGGCAGCGGUCCAAGUUCCUUGGAACAGGACGUCACAGAGGGUGAGAAUCCCGUACGUGGUCGCUAGCCUUUACCGUGUAAAGCCCCUUCGACGAGUCGAGUUGUUUGGGAAUGCAGCUCUAAAUGGGAGGUAAAUUUCUUCUAAAGCUAAAUACUGGCCAGAGACCGAUAGCGCACAAGUAGAGUGAUCGAAAGAUGAAAAGCACUUUGGAAAGAGAGUUAAAAAGCACGUGAAAUUGUUGAAAGGGAAGCGCUUGCAGCCAGACUUGCCUGUAGUUGCUCAUCCGGGUUUUUACCCGGUGCACUCUUCUAUAGGCAGGCCAGCAUCAGUUUGGGCGGUUGGAUAAAGGUCUCUGUCACGUACCUCCUCUCGGGGAGAACUUAUAGGGGAGACGUAAUGCAACCAGCCUGGACUGAGGUCCGCGCAUCUGCUAGGAUGCUGGCGUAAUGGCUGUAAGCGGCCCGUCUUGAAACACGGACCAAGGAGUCUAACAUCUAUGCGAGUGUUUGGGUGUCAAGCCCGAGCGCGUAAUGAAAGUGAACGGAGGUGGGAACCUUUCGGGGUGCACCAUCGACCGAUCCUGAUGUCUUCGGAUGGAUUUGAGUAAGAGCAUAGCUGUUGGGACCCGAAAGAUGGUGAACUAUGCUUGAAUAGGGUGAAGCCAGAGGAAACUCUGGUGGAGGCUCGCAGCGGUUCUGACGUGCAAAUCGAUCGUCAAAUUUGGGCAUAGGGGCGAAAGACUAAUCGA
rnacentral:rRNA from 1 species